GUGGUCCCUGGGAUUUCUAGACGUUACGUGCCACAUCAGCCUGUUGGGUGUCCUCCUCGAAGCCGUACAAGUGAUGGCUGGUUCCCUUUUCUGAGCUCGACCGUGGCUGCGGUAAAUCGCAGAAAACGGAAAAUGUGCGUUGAGUUUCGGCGCGCUCGAUAUGAAGAACAUGUCGUUGAUGGGCCUUUGCCGAAGGAUUGGCAUGGUUUCUCGGUUUAUGUGAGUUCGGAGGUGACUGGGGUAGACCGCAACAGACGGAAAAGACGGAAAGUGUCGAUUAAAUUGCGACGUCCUGGAUGCGAAGAGAUUGUUGUCCAAGGGCCUAUGCCGAAGGAUUGGCAAGGUUUCUCGGUCAAGUUUGCCGAGUCCCUUAAAGCUUGCUAUGCAGAUAGGUCGUACUACGGCCCUCCAGAUUUCUUGUGCCAAUACUGUGGUGCCUCCUUUUGGUUUGCUGAGUGUUCAAAGUCCAGGUCAUCCUGGACACAACGUAAGAUGGUUUAUAAUCGCUGUUGUGAAGGCGCUAAGCUAUAUAUUCCU